CUUUCUUGUGACUUUUUUGUAGUUGAAGAGCAAAAUAAUGCCGUUACAGGCAAAUCACCUUUCAAGGAACGGGAGACAUUUGAUGGACGAAAUAUACUGAAGAUCUUUGAGAACUUCUGUUUUGGAGAACUGCAGCUGAAUUCAGUCCACCUUUCUCAGAGAUUUUCCACAGACAGUUCUGGUUACUAUGCUACAUCUGGGCAGCUCACUUUCUCCUGAAAUAACAACUUGGCUGCUCCAAAAGAUCUGUUGGGUGCCCAGAAUGGCAGAAUAAAUUUGAUCUUGAUUAAAGGGGUAACAUUAAAUUUGAAGCCUGAACAAAUAUGAAAAGAGAUCUCUUAUAAGGAUUCUACAAAGACUGGGACACCGUGUUGCUUCUUCAAAAAAACAUGCACAAUCCACGACAGAUGAUGGAUCUCUCCUGUAUCCUUCCUACAAAUACCCCGUCUAUCUAUCCUCUUGAAAAGCUCUGGUCUCUUCCACCUCACACAGCCUUUUCGUCUCUUAAUACUUUUAAUGUACAGGUUUCUUUGGUUUAGAAACAAGCUGUCAUCUAUAAGAUAAACUGUCAUUGUCAGCUAACAUUAUAUACACAGUUUAUUUCUUGUUUUAGAUGUUUGAUGCAGUCUUACAAGUUUACAAAAAUAACAUUUAUUUCUCCAUAUCAGCUCUCCUUUUAUUCUUGUUUUCUGUUUGAAUUAUAUACCUCUUUUCUCAGUUUUGUUUGUAAUGGAGCAGAAGAUAUGUCUCCAUGUUGUUUACUUCCUUAGUUCAAAGCCCAAUGAAGCCAGUGAAAAGACUCCUGUUAAAUCAAUGGACUUUGGAUCAGUCUUUAUAUGAACCAGAAUGUUGCACGUCCCUGUCUAUGUCACUAACUUGCUUGUUGUAUACCAGUGGAGGAGACAUACCCAGCUUUCUGGGUAUUGCACCAAAUCUUGAGUAUUUACUUUUUAAAUGGGCAACUAAAUCUCAAAAUAUUUAAAAUCCAGAAGGGCUCCACAGACCUUAAGAGAACAGUGUUAAGGUAAGUCAUUACUUGGUGCCCAAACUGGAAGUAGUUCAGUAACAUUAUUGAUGUUAAUCACCAAAUAAAUUAUUUUAAAAACCA